rnacentral:tRNA from 1 species
GCCGAAGUGGUGGAACUGGUAGACACGCUAUCUUGAGGGGGUAGUGGGAGCAUUCCCGUGGGGGUUCGAGUCCCCCCUUCGGCACCA